rnacentral:lncRNA from 1 species
AUGAGUUCAACAAGUUAAAAAGUAGCUCAGUUUAAAAAAUUUUUUGUUAAUGAAUAAGAACUUAUGAUGGAUCCCUAUCUUUAAAAAAGAUAUUUUUUGAAGGAAAAAAAUAGUGUAAAAUCUCAACGUUGGAUUAACUCAAAUUGAUUUUCAAUCGUAGAUAGGAAUAUCGUUUUAAAAUUCAAAAUAAGUUUUGAUUUAUAUUAUGAUGCAUUGGUUGGAUAAGGUGUUAAUUAAUUAUAGUGGUAUUCAUAAUUUGUGCUUCAUGAACCAUUUAAAGGUUUUUAUAUGUUAAAGUUACAAAGUUCAAUUUUUUAGCACUUUAGAAAGUUUUUGCGGACUUAUUUAUUAAAAAUUAUAAAAAUUAGAGAAUGAGUGAAGGUGCAAACUAUUUUGGUAAUGCUUGGGUGCGGACUAAUUUAUUAUGGAGUUUAGGCCAGAUCAAGAAUAUACAAUAGAAUUUACAUGGGUUCUCAACUAAUUAACUAUUACUUAAAAAAAAUUAAAUUGGAAUCUACAAUGGUGAAUCUAAAUCAAAAUAUUGACCCAAGCAUGGAUUAGAAAAUUAAUUUUUUCAAUCAUCAUCUUACGGAUUGAAUUGUACAACUAAUCGUAUUCACUGCCUUUCUUAUUCGAAAUCCAAAUAUAAUCCAUUGUGGAAGUAAGGUUGGUUUGGCAUGUACGCAUUCCCGGACCCAAAAAGUUUGGAUUGAGGUAAAAUAUAACCACAAGCCACACAGCAUCGUUGCUGUGAUACAAUACAGAAAACCACCUCUGGUCUAAUUUGUUGUUCAAGAUUCAUUUAGUUUUAGGGUUUAUGGUAAUCAUCUUUCACUAAAAUAUUUAGACUAAUGGUGGAUAAGUUGCAGCACAGUUAUUGUUUGUCUUAAAUAAAUAGAUAAUAAAUAUUAUUUUAGAAUAAAUUGUUUAUGAUGCGGAUUGAUCAUGGGUUAGGUGGGUCUGUUGGAAAAAAACAUACGAGAAAUAUAGAAUUUCAAUGAACAACUUUUUAUUAAUAGCUCAAUUGUAUACAAGUAAAUUAAAGAUUUGUCACUUACUAAGGGGUUGUAAAACUGCUUUGGUGAACUGAACGUACACUGUCUCUCUCUGAAAACCAAAAAAAAUCAAUUACGAUAAAAAUUGUGUAAAUUUUCAGUCCUCUAAUCAAAACCCCGACGCUCUUUUAUAGGAAAAAGAAAGGCAAGGUCCUUUUCCUUAUUAAACUAUAAAAGAAAGAAUUAUUUCCUAGUUGGACUGUAAAAAGUGGCGUUAUCUUCAAUUAGAGUUUAUAUACUAAAAAAAUCUUAACAUCUACAAGCGAGAACAUAGAAUACCAACUUCUUCAUGCUUCAAAUUUUAAGAAGGUCGUGAUGACCGAUCAACUUAAUUUCUUUUUUCAUCCAUUUACGAACCAUGGUCAGUCGUAACAAAUGAUACGGGCAACACUUGCACAUACCACGAAAUGCAAAGAGCGUGGCACACAAUUUCAUGAAUGAUUAACAUCUAGAUGAGUGGCCUAGUGGAUAUGGAAUAAAAAACAAUUGGCGUGAACUCCACAAAUGAAACUUCCUAGCUAUGAGUUGCAAAUGCGUCAAAAGUAUGGAAUAAUCUUUCGUUAAUUUCCGAGAAAUCGUAUUAUCUUUAGGGUCGUUGGGGCUACCGGAUAGUAUUAAGAGAUUAAAUUUUAGAAGGAUAACUUUUAACUGUUUGAUAAUUUUUAAAAGGGUGAAUAAGUGGGGAUAAGGACAAAAAAUAUAUAAGAGAAACAAAAUGUAAAUAUGUAGAUAUUAAAAAAAUUAAUACAUAAUAAUACUAUGAUAUUUAUAUAUGUAUAUACAUAUUUUUAAUACUACAUUAUUUUAUAUUUUGUUUCUCUUUAUAUAUUUUCUUCUUUAUAUAAUAUUUUUGAAUUAUCACAUAUUUUACAUUUUGUUUCUCUUUAUAUAUUUUAUUCUUUAUCUCCACCCUUAUCCUCCCGAAUAACUUUUAACAGGGUGAGGAUCACCCAUAAAUUAUCGUCUAUCUUCCUGAUGGGAAAACUUAUCUGGGGAGAAAAGUAACCAUCCUAGUAAGUUUUCACCAUUAAACGGCGAAUAGGAAAAAUUAUCUAGGAGGAAAAAUUAUCCGCUCUCUUAUCCUCCAGCCAAAACAAAACCUUACAUCUAAUAGGAAAAAUGCUAAGGGUGUCUUAGGGCACUAUUAAGAUACAUUAAGACUUAAAAAAAGCACGAAACUAUCAACUUAUUUUCAUUGAUUAUUAAAUGAGUUAAUAUGAAAUGUUUCUUCAACCUAUAUUUAUUGUAAAACCGAAUCAUUAUUUACAUACCAAAUCUACCCUCGGAAAAUAUUAUGCUUAAAAUAUGUUCAUUUCUAAAAAUUAUGUGUAUGUGAAUUACUUGGGUUAGCAACUACAGUCUAGAUUUUUAUUUUACUUUUUUUAGUAUGGUAUCAAAUAAACGAAAGCUUAUAAAUUAUGAGGUAAAUUUCACUGAUUUUCCAUGAGUUUUAUGAUAUAUUUCUGCAGUUUAAAAAAUAGGAUUUAUCUUUCUUACUUGUAAAAUAAUAUCAAUUUUUCCCUGUAGCUAUUUUUUUUGAAACAAUAUAAAUAUCUUUUAUUUAGAGCUUCCAUUUUCUUCUCAAUACACUAAUUAAAAUAAAAAAUAUUCUCCUCUAUUUUAAAAAAAUUCAUAACAAAGUUUAUUUUUAGAAGUUUAGAUUAGGAGCACUUAAAAAAAUAAACAUAUUUCGGAUCAAUUUUUGUUUUAAAAAAAAAUUAAAAGCUCUAAUAAAGGGUAAGCUUGUCAUGUUUGCACACAAAUUUAUUUUAGUAGGAAGGAAAAAUUGAUUUAUUAAUUUUUAAAAGUAAGAGAAGUUAUGUUUGUUAAAAACUACGAUGAGGUGGUUGUAUUGUUAGAAAACCCAAGGGAAAUCAGUCGAACUUAAACCCAUAAUUAUUUUAAUAAAUAAAAAAACGGGAACGGAUGCUGAAGAGUGUCUCGCUUUAGGGGUUGAUUUCGGUCUUCAAGCCUACCAUAACCGAUUUUAUCUUUAUGCCUUUUUUAGUUGUGCUCUUUGGUUUGAUUUUUGAGUUUACCAAAUAAUAAAUAAAUAAAUGGUUAGGAGGAUGACUGAUAAGGUAAAAGGGUUUAAAAUUGGAAAUUGAAAAAGCUUUACCAAUUUAUGCCAUUAAUUGUUGAUCAUUUGCUUGAUUAAAAUAAAUGGCAUUAAUUUUAAGGGUAGUAAAAAAUAGAGUUUCCAUUGUUGAGAAAGCUUAGCCAAUAUUUUGCAAAGCCAAAUUUGACACAAUAAAUAGUUUUUGCAAAACUUUUUAAAUCAUCUCUAAUGUUUAGAUCUUCAAUACAUUUUAAGCAACAGACAUAAAACGCAAAAUAGCAUUCAUCAACGCCACAACAUGCUAAUUUUUGGCAUUUUAAAACACUAACUACAAAAAAUGCAAAUAUUAGUUUGAACCAAUCAGAGUUCCCUCUCAGCAAUUUUUUAAGCAAAGCAAAUUCAUGUGACAACACUUCUAGACUACCAAAUUCCUAAAAAAAUGUUGUAGAAAUCUUAAACAGGACACUUCAGCAAAUUUAAUACUACUGUUGUUCAAAAUUUAUUAGUUCAUUUUAAUAUAAAUUAACUUUUUUUUAAUUAAAGAAUCAAAAUGCUACACUUGAAAAGUCAUAACUUUCCAAAAACUAUUCAAACCGAAAUAAUGAGAGUAAGUCAACAUAUUUAUUUAAAUUUUCGUAUGCAUUGUGUACCAUUUGCACUCAGGAAUUAUCAAAUGCAAUUUGGGAUUCUCGUAGUGUUCCCCAGGACGAUUAUCAUCUUGUAGCUUUAUUGUUAUGACUAUGGUGAUUCAUUUUUAUUAAUUUGAACCGUUCAAUUAUAGAGUCCGUUAAAUAUAAAAUCUAUAUAAAAAAUUAAAUCAAUCAGACAUCAAUAGCAAAACUAAUCGGUUGUCAUUUCUCUUAUAAUAUAUUUAAAAAAUCAUAAUUAUCGUUCAUUUGUUUUAAACCAAAUAUUUUUAUAUUUUGUAAUUACUUAUGUUUAAUCAAUUUUUUUCAUGGAUGAUUAACUCAACAAGCUCUAUAAUAUAAACAGUUUAGAUCAUUAAAAUGAAUCAAAACAGAUUUAUUUUAAAAACAUAAUAAAAUUGUAGUGUUUUGAGAGUACUGCAACUCUAUAGCAAUGCCGCAAUGUGAACGUUUGUGGAUUUUAAUAAAUUGCAUUUUAUUCAUGCUAUUACUGGCACCCAAGCAUAGCCUAUUAGUUGUCAUUUAAGGCAAUGUCCCCAAGUGUUUAGAAAUUAUUUUCUUAUCAUCUAAUUUUAUGAAAAUUUCAAUAAUAUAUGCAGCAUGAUCUCCAACUAUUUUAUAUAUGAUUUGACGGAAAAAGAUAAUAUAAACAAACAAAAAAAUUGUACACAAAAAAAAUUACGUGCGGUAUGAAUUCAAAUAUUUUGUGUUGGAACCCACAUUGAAUGAACUGGAACAACCCAUGAUUUUUCUGCUCAAAUCUUCUAUAAUUAUUUUUGUAUAGAGAGCAUUGCUUUAUUUCAAAUGUUAAUCAUUCCUAGCUUUUUUUUGUGUGUGUUUCCACUAAUACUUUUCACCCCACAAUAAGAUUUUUUGGCUUCCUUUUUUUUUGUGCUAUGAUUUCGAUUUGUUUUUUGUUAACGUUCUCAAAUGAUUUUUUAACAAGCCAAACUCGAAUUGCUUCGUUUCGUUUAAUAAACAGUCAUAUCUUCUCUUCUACAUUCUACAUACACAGGCCACCAAAAGCCAAAUAACAAUGGUCCAGGGCGUUGUUUGCAACGAAGUUACUGCUCUUCUUCCCGCAAGUACUUGAUCAUGUUUUUGCAAUCUAAUUAUCCAAUUUGUGUAUACAUUAUUUUAUGUAGUUUCAAGUUAUUUUACAAGAACUGUAGUCUCUAAAUUUAGGAAACUUCUGGUUCUCCUCCUUCGAAAUGUUUUACAAACAAGUCAUAAAUUUUAAGAAACUCUUCGAAAAUUUUGACAAACAAGUCAUAAUUUCACAUCUACAAAAGAGUGGGUGUGGUGCCGCUAUGUGCUGUCUUGUUUUCAAUUUUAAGAAUAGUAAACUAUAAUUUGCCCCCUUAAGUUUUAAUAUUUUUUACUCAACCUCAGCUCUUUUGUUUUUUUUAACUCUUACCUUAGAUAUAUAAUGGUUCCCUAUUUGCUUCCUCGAUACAACAUCUCAUUUGAUAUUGGUAGGGAUAUGAGUGUUGAAGUGGGCUAAAUCGGUUUUGGUUUCGGGAGGAGUGGUGCCACAUGUUAAUUGCCGUCAAUAUUUUGAAUGAAGUUGCUUAUUGACAAAAAUAAUGACAAUUAGAUAAUUUAACGUAGUUUCUUUGGCAUUGUACUUUUGGAAAGUAUGGGGUGGGUGUUUAUUUUUAGCAUAAGGCAAUUUAAAGCCUGUCUCUGCCAACUCUCUCUUUUUGGAUUAGGGUAUAUAAUGGGGGUUGGAAUGUAGCACUUAGUUUCUGAUGUAUAUACCCUCAUGACAUGAUUUUUAGAUCAUAUUCGUUAUUUCGUUGUAACUCCUUACUCGAGUUAAUAAAAUUUUCUCUCAUCAAAAAUAAAUAAAAAAAUAAUGUAAUAAUCAUGAAGCCUUCUAAUAUUUUUUACAUUUCAGAAAUAAUGUAGCUACUAAUAUAAUCGCAUUUCUUGUCGUUCAUCGUCGUUCUUACAUCAAUCUGAAUGCAGAUUUUUUUAUGAAUCCAAUGAAUUGGCAUAGAGGAUUGAAUUAUUAUUAUUAUUUGGCGUCCGAGGAGGAUUAAUUAUAUAUUAUCUCAGAACCCUAAACUCUACUAUGUCGUUUGCCAAAUCAAACAAGGGAAAACUAUUUAGUCGAGGAAAUACUUAGUACGCUUCCGAGUACGAUCCAAGACAUUUAUUGUCGCCUUCUCGAAUAACAAGGGAACGAACCGUAGUCUCAUAAGAGUUUAUUACGUGUUAUUAGGGCAAAAUUCGUUGAUAUAGAGCGACAACAAUCUUUGUUCUUCGUACAUUUUUGUAUCGGUGUUUGCCACAAUAGCGAUGACCCAAAUCUAAGUUACGUUGUGAUUGUGUUAUAGUUUGUGAAUAGUAGGCAAUCAUUUCCUAUUCUUUCCAUCACAUUUUCGGUGUUUUCAUUGACAUUAAGAGUCUGUUGACCUAGAAUGACCAAAAAACAAAAAUGAUUGCGCGGUGUUUUCCAUUAAGUUAAAAAAGAAAGAAAAACAUACUGUAUUUCUCAUCGUCAUGUUGCAUGAUCGAUAAGCAAAGCGAAUGAGCAUUGGAUAUGGAAAUGAUUCUCUUUUUUCUCUUUGUAUUUUGGAUGGCAACUUCAGCAGUUUUAAUAAUACUAGCCAAUUAUUUUUGUUUCUUAAUAUUUCAAAAAACAACGAGGCUCAAGUAAUAGACUCCUCUCUCUUGCCAUUUCUCACCUGUUUUUGAACCACAUCAUGAGAAAAAACCCUAAUUUUUCGACCCUUUGUUAUUAUUUCUCAAAAUCCUCCAACAAAACAGCUAUAAACAUAGAGUUGCGCUCUCUUUGUGAACAUGAUCCCCGAAAAGUCAUAUUCCGCUUCUCUCUUCGAUGUGAUGCUCCGAAUUUGUUGCAGUUUCUCUUCCCUGAUUUCUUUCUUUGUGAACAUAUCGCCGAAUGUCUAUUUUUUUUCGCUCACCCCCCAAACCCCCCCCCCCGUCUUCGAUGUGACACUCGAAAAUAUUCGUGAAGAUAUGAUCGUGCGAAUAUUUAAUUUCCCUCCCUCUUCCCUUGUUUCUGUCAUGAAGUUUCAUUUUGUCUACCUGGAUGAACGAUACGAAUGCUGGCCAAUACCUUAAAAGGUUCCAACUCCAACAAAAUUUUUGAAUUUACUUCACAAUUGCCUUCACAUUGCAUACAAAACCUGGAAGGACGUCCUUCACUUUAUAGAAAAUGGUGAGCUGGGGCAUGUCAUGCAGUAUGCCACCUAGGUCAUGAUCAUGAUCCACGCCAACAUUACAAUAUUCAUCAACUAGGACAAGGGACGAAGUUUUGAAAUCUUAGGGAACAGUUUGGAUAAGGUUGUGAUUUAUUAGCUAUUUGAUUUUGAGUUUUUAAAUGCUUUUAAUAACAAAAAAAUACCAUUUGAUCAAACAUAUUUAUUUUAUUUUUGUUCUUCUUGACAAGGAAAAUUUAAAAAAUUUCAAAAUUUAAAAAAUUUCAAUAAGAAAACAUUUUAAUAAUUUGUAUAAAGAUAGUUUUUUUGUUUUUGUGAACUAUUUCGCAAAUUAUGUUAAAAAAGAAUAUAUUCUAAUUCCUCUUCAUCUAGGGAACCGUAGAAGUUAAAAAAUCUUUGAUAAAUUAUUAAAAAAGUUUAAUAGCGCCACGGUCGCGCGCAAACUCGAAGUUAAAGAGCUAAAAAAACUUUAAAAAGAUUAGGGUAAACUCCGAACUUAUUUAUGAAAAACGAUAUUUUUUUAUAAAACAUUUCAAAAAAAUAAUAAAAUAGUGAAGUAUUCAACACCAAAUUUCUUUCAUUAAUGAAAAUUUCUUUUGCUAAGUUGCUUGGAAUCUGCUCUUUGUUGAGGUCACUUUAUCCUCUUUCUUUUUAUUUUAUGUUGUAUUUUCAAAUAUACUAUAUACAAAACUCCAACCACACGUUCUAACAAUAGGUGCAUCCUACAUGAGUCCCCACAGGAUGGAGGUAGGAUCCAUUCUCGUAUGAAAAAGAUGUUAGUGAAGAUUCCUUGCUUAACAUGGUCGCUUAUUUGGGAAGGAUAUAAAAGUGGUAAUUAUGAUGGAAGUUGGUGGAUUUGUUGCCCUACUAUUUGGUGAGUUUCUUUUGGAAAAUGGCUGAGAAAUGUGUUCUAGAUCUUUAUAUUCUCCUCCAACUUGGUAAGUAAAUUUCCCAUCGUGAUUGAUUAUGAAAAAAAUGUCCCGUGCUAAGAUUGUCUCCAAGGGACAAGCUUAUUUUUUUUCUUUUAUUUAAGUUUAUUUUCAUAAAAAAAAGAGAGAACUCUACCGAGAAAGUAAAGAGAGUUAAAGUCAACAAUCAGACACGGUUGAAUCUCUAUCGCUUUACAUUGCUGAUAAUUGAAAUAAACGAUGACGACCUUUAAUGAUAUAUAGUAACACCGACGACAUAUUAUACCUAAAUACCAAUCACAAAGACAGAGACCACAUAUUCGCGAGCUCGGUAGAAUAUACAAGUUUAAAAAUGGAUAGGCUUGCAUCGCUUCCGGAAACCUCAAUAUAGGUGCCCCUAGUGCCCAACUCAAUGUUUUGAAACUCGGACCGAUAAAGGAAUCGAAAAAAUAAUCGGAUCACGCGGUCACCGGUUCACCUUUGAUCAACCAUUAUCGAACUGUAACGUCAUAAAUUAUUUAUAAUAGAUAAUAAAUAAAUAUAAUUAUCAUUUGGGGUCUAAUUAUAAUAAUUUAAACAUUAUAAGUCAAGCGAGUGACACUUGAAAUUGUGAGGGUCUAAAGCGUGAUUUGGAGUUUAAAACCCCAAAUCUAUCACGCCUCUCUUAGUCUCUCUCUCACUCUCUCACACACUGACCCAGUCACCCAACCCAGAUCCCAAAGUUCAACCUCUGUGACUCUGUGAAAUCAGUUGCGAUUCUCUCUCAAUCGCCGCCCUUCAUCAGCAGGCCAACCACCAUCAGCAUCGGCCAACCGAAUCCACCACCACCAUGGACCACUCCACCUCUCUCUCACCCUCUUUCUCUCCCGAGUCCACCCGUGCCGGUUUGUCAAAACCCACUCCGGUUCGAUGGGUUCACGGUUGAACCGCGGGUCGUGACGGUUCAAUCCAAUUAUGUACUCACUGGGUUAAAGGGGUUGACCAGACCGUUUCUUUGACCGAUCGACAAUUGAACCGGUUAAACCGGCUAGUUCGGUCCGAGUUUCAAAACAUUGGCUCAACCGAUUGAAUAUAGUUUAUGAAGGGAAAGCUAGAGAGAAGGGGAUGCAUGGUGUGUGAAGAGAUAAAAUUUAGUAGUCUACUCUAAAGUUUAGGCUUUAAAUUUUAUAGUAAAAUUAAUAAAUGCAUUUUAGACCUACGUUGAAUUUACAUUUAUAAACUAAAUCGCUUAUUUUAUAAAAUCUAUUGAGAUAUUCAUCUAUAUAAACCAAAAUACAUUGUUUUUUUGGGGUUUUUUAACCUUUUUCCCACCUGGUUAUAUCAUUUUUGUUGGGAUGGCAUGCAUAAUGUCCAUAAUAGAUCGUUUAUAUUUUUAGAUACAAGUUAGUAGAGGUGUCAAAUGGAUGAUAUUGGCCCAUUCAUUUUCGUGCUUAUCAUACUUCGUGCUGUAUUUAUUUUUAAUCGUGUCAUGCCAUACCAUGCACAUUUUAAUAAAACCCGUAACCGACUCAUCGUCCGGCAUGUGCCUGUAUACUCAAUUCGCUCCUGUCCUGUUCCUAACUUCUAGGCCAUGAUUUUUUGAUCUAUGACAUGAAAUUUUAUGCAUCAAAAACUUAAAUUCUUUACAUUUGCUCACAUAAACAUGUCGUCCAUGCCUAUGUGGUCCAUGCCAUGCCUCAUGCCCCAAAACAGUGGACCAACUUGGCCCAUCACAUGUCUUGUUGUGCCAAAAUUUUAACGUGUCCGUGCUUGUGCUGUGUCCUAUGCCAGCUAGCUCAUUUGAAACCUCCACAUGUGAGUCGAACAUGUAUAUGACUAAACAAUCUCAGAUCAUAAUGACAUUUUUUUGCGAGAUGAGUGGCUCAAAUCAUUGAACUUGAGUCAAUAUAGCUCACGAACUUACUAUCUUGAACUUUGGAUUCAGCCCCACCCACCCCCCGCCCCACAAAAAAAAAAACACAACUUAGAAUUUUGUAGAAGAAGUUGAUCCUUUCCAAAUGCUCUGUUUUUUACUUACUGCAAAUUAACAAAUUUCAUUAGUCAAUAACAAAACUAGCGAAGAUGGUGCGGUUAUUUAGUAAUGGAGUUUUAAAAUUCAAGGCAAAAGAAAAGUAAAUUAAGAAUUAUUAAGACGGCCCGAAAGUAAUAGUUAAAAAGUCUUGGAAUGAAGGAAUUUUGUUAUAUCCGUUAGAGAAACCAAAGUCUCGUGAAAACUCCGAAAUGACGUUUAGUUUGUGUUUCUUAAGAAGGAAAAUAAUUUUAUUGAAAAUAAGUUUUACCCUCCACUUUUUAUCAAAUGCACUAUAUUUUUUAUCCUUAGUAUGUAAAUUUGAAUAAAUAUCAAAAUUAACAUUCACAAAACAAGAAGAAAAAAAAUAACCUUAGUGUAGAUUUGCCAAUUAACAAAACUAUUUGAUGAAUCAUUAUGUAUAUUCCCAAUAAACGCAAGUAAAUAAUUGACACAGAUAUACGUGAAAAUCUCAAUGUAGGAAAAAAAGAAUGGGUCUCAAGAAAAAAAAAUGCACUAUCAAUAAAAGUAGCAGAUACAAAAAUUCCUUCAUAAUCUAUGUGAAUCCACACAUGUGAUUCAAUAUUUAUUUUGAUGAUAUUUGAUGUGAUCUAGGUUGCAUCAUGAAGAUGCUUAAUAUUGAUAUAUUAAAUGAUAUUAUUUGACACAAAAUGUAUUUACAUAUACUCUUAAUAUUAUUGUCUAUAUUACUAAUGCAUAUAUACUAAAAUCCAGUAGCAUGAUCAGAUAUAUUCUACAUUAGCAUAUUUCACUUUAUCUUGACCAUGCUUCAUACACAUCACUCUAAGUUAUGUGAUUGGAAAUUGCCUAUAUUAAUUUUACUUAAUAUUGUUUGGGUGAUGUAUGUUGAUCAUUAGGCUGAAUGUUACAAAUUGGUGGUUAUGUCUUCAUAAACUCAAUAACUCAGGUUAGAAGGGGAUCUACAUGUUUACUAUCUACAUUUAUUACCUAGACCUACUUCAACAUAGCAAUAAGUUCUUUCACAUGCUAAAAGUAGAGAUCUAUAGAGAAACUUACUUGCAUACAUCACAUCUCGCUAUAUGAUAUUCAUACUUGUAUAUCUUUAUACAUGAUUUGAUUCGGCGUGUAUAUCGUAAUAUAAAUUGCAUGUUUUAUUUAGUAGUAAAAUAAUUAUCAAUCAUUAGAACAAUGCUUGGCAUGUCAAAUGGUAGAUAUAUGCAUUCUUGUUUUAGACUUGCCUUUUUGCAUUGCACAAGUCUCUAUCAUACUAAUUUGAUAUAUUUAUUAGAGAAACUUGAUUGCAUUUCAUGAAAUUUAUUUUUUUCCUACACGUAUAUGUUCAUUCUUUUGGAAAAUAGGAGUUAGUUAUUCAAAUCAAAUAUGCUUAUUCUGCAUAGAAUUAUACUUUGACUUGGAUGACAAACAUUGUUUUUCAAGUUCAAUUAUGUGUUUUAGACUUGCUUUGUGUAUCUUGCACAUUGAAUUACAAACCAAUGAAGGUUUUGAACCCUUCUAACAUUCACAUAAUUGCUGGUUUGGUUCCUAUUAUAUAAGUAGUGUCUUAUACAAGUUGUGAGUGUUUGAUUACUCCCUAAAAUUUACAUUCUAAUAGUAUACUAUAGAAUUAAUGGAAGUAGAUAAAAGAACCAAGUAAAAACUAAAAUUGUAUAUCUCACUUAUUUUACAAAUUGAGAAGGAAACAAUACCUACAUGCUAUAAUUUGAUUAUACACUACUUUGAUUCGUUUGAAUAUCACACAAUCUUAUCAUAAUAAUGAAUUGCUCAAAGUUGUUAGUUUUUCAUAAGAUCAUUACAUUCAUUUCAUAUUGAGAUGUUCACAAAUCAUGAAAUAUGCACAAAUCACAAGAGUGAGUUUAAACAAGAUUCCAUUCCCAUUAGAAUUUCAUUCCGGUUAUCUACAAGUCAUAAAUGAUGUAUAAUGUUUAUUAGGACUUAAAUACAGUAUUCAAUCAUGCAUAGAACUUAUUUUGACCUCCAUAAGUUAAAUAUUUAAGGAAUGCCUAAGGGAAUAGCUUCAAGAAAAAUUUGUAAGAAAUCAAAAAGCCGACCUUCAAAUAGAAUUAUCUAAAUUUCCAAAAGAUCCCAAAUUACAGAAAUGUUUGAGUCCGAUUAUUUUAAGCCCAUAAAUUAACUUUUAAUGAAAACUAAUUUCAUGACCAAAUUCAAAAUAUUAAAAAAGUUAUUGCCAAAAAUAAGAGUUAGCCAUUGUCAAAGUAGAGUUUCUACAAUUCUGCCGUCAAGUUGGUCAACUUUAAAUGAGGAUUUCUCAGGAUAUACAAGUCCAAAUUAAGAAAUUUCUUGAGUCUAAAUUAUAGCCCCAGGAAGUGGUUUCUAAGCCCCAAAACGACGCUAAAACUCUAAGCAACGAAAAAGUUUAUGGCCAUUGUACAAAGCCUGGUCUUCAGUAAACUCGAUCGACUUGAAGUUUGGUCGACUGAAGUUUGGUAUUUGACACCGAAAGUUUCUCGUAAAACAGGGAUCUGGAUACUCCAAUUAAAUUCACAGACCAACUGGCCAAAUGAUUUCAUGGCUAUAUCAUUUUUCAACGAGCAGAUUUGAAUAUCUUGGUAUAAAUACAACGCUUAGGGUUGUGAAAAAAAUAUGGACAGUAUCCUAACUAUUUCUACACUUCCAUUCCAUGAUUUAAACACUGAAUAUCUCUCUAAAGAUAUAUUUUAUCCUCAUCAAGACUAUAUUUUUAUCAUCAUCAAGAGAGAAAAACAUUCAACUAGAGUAUUGUGAGUUUUCAUUGUAACAUCUUUUUAUCAUUCUUGAGAGGAUCACCUUGAGUGAUUAUGGUAUUCCAAGAGAGGAGAGUGUUCUCUUGAAAAUAGAAGGUUUUCUAGUAUUGUAUUCCAAGAGGGGAAUGUCUUGAAAAACUAGAGGGGCUCUAGUGGGUGAAGAUUUUUCAAGCACCCGCAAGCUUGAAGUAGUGAAAUCCCAAGGAGGACUUGGAGAGGGACGUAGGCAAGGAUGACCGAACCAUUAUAAAAUCGUGUUUGCACUUUCUAUCAUUAAAUCCUUUAAGCUUCCGUAUUGCAUUAAUACUUGCUUAUGUUAUUUGAUAUCAUCAUAUUUAUCAUUGCAAGUAUUCGAUUAAGGAGUAAUUAAUUGAAAAAAAUUAAUGUGAUAAUUUUAAUUAGCCAAUUUAGUGCAAACUUAUUCACCCCCCUCUCGGUUUGCCACAUAGAGUAACAACACACCUUUAUGUCGAACUCGUAGACGAAUUCUCGUGAACUACUUCUUGCAAGUUCUUCUCGCGUCUCAACCUCUUCAGCCAACCUGGAGUCCACCGAGCCUUAAUAGCUUCAAACACCUUCAAAUGCUUUGUCUGCAAGUUUGAUUAAUUUGCAAACCCUCAGGAGGCUCAUCAAAUCGCCGGAUCAAUAGAUCAUAUAAUAUAUUCUUGGAUACAAAAAUCCUAACUUAUAAUUCUUUAGAAAUGGCACCCUAGGUUACAACAUUGUUUUACUAUUAUAACAAAAUAUUAAAGUGCUUAUUCCGUCGUCCAAGUGGAACUCUCCAGUUCGAUCAAAGGGCAGGCGGACGAGCUUAUCUCGAAAUUACACUUUUGAUUGCAUGUAGUUUCAAAAAAUUUUAUAACUUUUAUACUGCAAAUUUAACCCAAAAACUUCUUCAAAUGAUUCAUGGGUUGUUAAAUUCAUAAAAAACCCUCAAAAAUAAUACUCGACGGAAGAAAUGAAAAAGAAAUACAAAUUAAAAUAUUUGCAUAACACAUUAUAAACCUACGAAAGAAAAUUCUAGUCCAACCAAAGGAUGGUAAACGUUUAAGGGUAUGGAGAGAAAGGUAAUAUUUUUUUUUUGGUAGUAAAUAAGUUGUAUUACACAAAAUGAAGGUAAAGUUAUACUUCUGGGAUUCCCGUAGGAUGACAAAGCAUGAAGCCAAGCUAAAGCUCCAAAACAAGGGCAAAACAAAAAAGGCCUAGGCAAGCAAGCCCGACUUUAAACAAAAGAGGAAAAACUAGUCAAACAUCCUGACUCUAAUCAGGAGGAUAGCAAUUAAGCCAUUAACAAACAAAGGAACAGGGUCUGUAUUCCUGGGAAUAGCUAUAUAUAAUCUAGAAGUUUAUUUUGGAUACCCUAGAGAUUGACUCCAGUUGCUCUAUCUUGCCCUAAAAAUUCUGUUUGUUUCGAGCUUACCACAUGUAGUAAAUAGUGCAUCCAAGGGCGGCCAAUUUUUGUUGAUUUUAAGUGCCUCUAGCCUCUUUGAUCAUCCAUUUUAAAACCGCUGCUUUAAAAAACGGUUUGUAUAGCUCGAGAAAUACCCAGCCAGCUCUGACCUUGACCCAAAUCUGUUCCCUAUUUCUAUAAUGGAAAAUAGGUGAUCAAUUGUUUCUUCUGAGCACUGCAUAACGGGCAUAUUUAUCCCCUCAAUAUAUCCUUGGCGUUUAUCCUUUGUCAAAAGACGAUCUUUCGACCUAAUCCAUAAAUAAAGAAUCCUAGGGAUGAUGGAGCUGUGCCAUACCAGCUUUGGCCAUGGAAUCUUGGCCUCUUGGUCCUGAAGAACGCACGCUAAUCUGUUGAAACUUCUCGUUGGAGCCCCACUGAUUCAGUCUGUGGAUGGCUCCUUUCUACUGUUAUCUCUGCCCCCAACGUUUUCCAUCUCUUAAAGAGCCAACAGCUGCUUUUAAAACGGGGAGUCCCAUGCUUGUUUUGUACUCCAAAACACUUCCUUUCAUAUAUAUUUUGGUGACCCAUUGAACCAUCGAGUGUCCUUAUUUGCAGGAGUCCCAAAGAGUUUUGGAUAAUAGUGUUUGUUCCACUUUAAGAGUCCCGGAUGCCCGCAAGUCCUCCCUUAGCCUUUGGGAGAAUGAUCGCCUUCCAAGCCACUAGGGCUUCUUGUUGAUUGUGCAUUUUUCCACUCCAAAGAAAAUACUUCAUAGCUAAAGAAACAAUUUUGUGGAUUUUUGACCCCCAGCUGGGAUGGGGAGGAUGGAGAGCAAAAGCAAUUCAACUCCUUGCAGCAUAGAUUUGAUCAGCUCUGUCCUCUGGCAUAGGAUAAAAGUUGCACCUGCCCAAACACUAAUGCUAUCUGAGAUCUGUCAUUAGAGGGCGUAUUGGGAGUUUGUCAAUCUGGAAUUGCCACUGGAAUUCCCAGGUAUCUAAAG